UACGUAGGGUGCGAGCGUUAAUCGGAAUUACUGGGCGUAAAGCGUGCGCAGGCGGUUCUCCAAGUCCGGUGUGAAAGCCCCGGGCUCAACCUGGGAAUGGCAGUGGAAACUAGGGGACUUGAAUCUGGCAGAGGGGGGUGGAAUUCCACGUGUAGCAGUGAAAUGCGUAGAGAUGUGGAGGAACACCGGUGGCGAAGGCGGCAUCCUGGACCAACACUGACACUGAGGAGCGAAAGCCAGGGGAGCAAACGGG
rnacentral:rRNA from 1 species